UACAGAGGGGGCAAGCGUUGUUCGGAAUUACUGGGCGUAAAAGGCGCGUAGGCGGCCUUCUAAGUCGAACGUGAAAUCCCCGGGCUCAACCCGGGAACUGCGUCCGAUACUGGAAGGCUUGAAUCCGGGAGAGGGAUGCGGAAUUCCAGGUGUAGCGGUGAAAUGCGUAGAUAUCUGGAGGAACACCGGUGGCGAAGGCGGCAUCCUGGACCGGCAUUGACGCUGAGGCGCGAAAGCCAGGGGAGCAAACGGG
rnacentral:rRNA from 1 species